CACCAGCGCCCCGAGUGGGGAUCGCGAUUAUUGGGCCUAAAGCGUCCGUAGCAGGCUUUGUAGAUCCUUUGUGAAAUGGGCAGGCCUAACCUGUCCGCGUGCAGAGGAGACCGCAGAGCUUGAGACCGGGAGAGGUCAGAAGUAUUCCUAGGGUACCGGUAAAAUGGGUUAAUCCUGGGAGGACUACCAAUGGCGAAGGCAUCUGACCAGAACGGUUCUGACUGUGAGGGACGAAAGCUAGGGGAGCAAAACGG
rnacentral:rRNA from 1 species